rnacentral:rRNA from 2 species
GCGUGCUAUACAUGCAAGUCGAGCGGACAGAAGGGAGCUUGCUCCCGGAUGUUAGCGGCGGACGGGUGAGUAACACGUGGGUAACCUGCCUGUAAGACUGGGAUAACUCCGGGAAACCGGAGCUAAUACCGGAUAGUUCCUUGAACCGCAUGGUUCAAGGAUGAAAGACGGUUUCGGCUGUCACUUACAGAUGGACCCGCGGCGCAUUAGCUAGUUGGUGGGGUAAUGGCUCACCAAGGCGACGAUGCGUAGCCGACCUGAGAGGGUGAUCGGCCACACUGGGACUGAGACACGGCCCAGACUCCUACGGGAGGCAGCAGUAGGGAAUCUUCCGCAAUGGACGAAAGUCUGACGGAGCAACGCCGCGUGAGUGAUGAAGGUUUUCGGAUCGUAAAGCUCUGUUGUUAGGGAAGAACAAGUGCGAGAGUAACUGCUCGCACCUUGACGGUACCUAACCAGAAAGCCACGGCUAACUACGUGCCAGCAGCCGCGGUAAUACGUAGGUGGCAAGCGUUGUCCGGAAUUAUUGGGCGUAAAGGGCUCGCAGGCGGUUUCUUAAGUCUGAUGUGAAAGCCCCCGGCUCAACCGGGGAGGGUCAUUGGAAACUGGGAAACUUGAGUGCAGAAGAGGAGAGUGGAAUUCCACGUGUAGCGGUGAAAUGCGUAGAGAUGUGGAGGAACACCAGUGGCGAAGGCGACUCUCUGGUCUGUAACUGACGCUGAGGAGCGAAAGCGUGGGGAGCGAACAGGAUUAGAUACCCUGGUAGUCCACGCCGUAAACGAUGAGUGCUAAGUGUUAGGGGGUUUCCGCCCCUUAGUGCUGCAGCUAACGCAUUAAGCACUCCGCCUGGGGAGUACGGUCGCAAGACUGAAACUCAAAGGAAUUGACGGGGGCCCGCACAAGCGGUGGAGCAUGUGGUUUAAUUCGAAGCAACGCGAAGAACCUUACCAGGUCUUGACAUCCUCUGACAACCCUAGAGAUAGGGCUUUCCCUUCGGGGACAGAGUGACAGGUGGUGCAUG